rnacentral:ncRNA from 3 species
GAGAACUUUGAAGGCCGA